UUUACAAUCCCGCGCGUUGGUGCUCGCGAGGUGGUUCACACCUCGCAGUUCAACGGGAAGCAGAAGCCGACGCCCCCACAGGGCUCAGGCCAGCCUGCGCUGCCCCCGCAACGGUCAAGCAGACGGCGUCCUUUCUUCGGAUGCCGCCCUCGUCAAUCAGCCACUGGAUGCCCUGAAACAGGCCUCUGGGAAGGCGACGAAGGUCGUGCUGCCAGCCCGGAUACCGGCCAACGAGGCGGUCGCCGC
rnacentral:ncRNA from 2 species